GACGAACGCUGGCGGCGUGCUUAACACAUGCAAGUCGAACGGAAAGGCCUGCUUUCCCUUGAGGAUUGCGGGUACUCGAGUGGCGAACGGGUGAGUAACACGUGAGUGAUCUGCCCCCAACUUGGGUAUAAGCCUGGGAAACUGGGUCUAAUUCCCGAUAGGACUGCAGGGUGGUGCCUGUGGUGGAAAACGAUUUUCUAGUGGUUGGGGAUGAGCUCGCGGCCUAUCAGCUUGUUGGUGGGGUAAUGGCCUACCAAGGCGGCGACGGGUAGCCGGCCUGAGAGGGUGGACGGCCACAUUGGGACUGAGAUACGGCCCAGACUCCUACGGGAGGCAGCAGUGGGGAAUAUUGCACAAUGGGCGGAAGCCUGAUGCAGCGACGCCGCGUGGGGGAUGACGGCCUUCGGGUUGUAAACUCCUUUCGACCGCGAGGAAGCCACCUGGUUGGAAGGGUGGUGACGGUAGUGGUAGAAGAAGCACCGGCUAACUACGUG
rnacentral:rRNA from 1 species